GGGUGUAUAGCUCAGUGGUAGAGCAUUCGGCUGCAGAUCGAGAGGUUACAUGUUACGAUGUUUUGCUUA